AUGGCAAAGGUCAGUUCUCUGAGAGCAACCAUAGUUCAAGAUGCACCGAGGCUCCUGAUAAACAAAUCCUGUAUGACACAGAUAAACAUAAAGGCUCCUGCCCCUUGUUGCAAAGGGUUCCACACACCUUUCUUGGGUGAGGUAGAACAAACUGCAGUGUUGGGAGCUAUUCAAUGGAGACAUCCAUAUGACAAGUAACUGAAGGUUACUUCUGACCAAUAGUGAACAAGAGUAGAAACUAAAUCCUGUCAACAACCUAUGCCUAUGAAAGCAGAUUUCUUCCCCAGUGAGACUUCAAGUGGAAUCCCAGCACUAACUGAAAUUUUAAUUUUAUCCUGGUGAAGACCCUAAAGCAGAGGAUUCAGCUAACAUGUCCAGAUAACUGAUCCACAGUAAGUACAAACUAAUACAUAUAUGCUACACUGAUAUGGUUUUGUUGUAGUGUUCAAUUACUCAGCAAUCAUUAUCAGUAGUCUUCAUAGUACCACACCUUUUGACAAAACAGACAAAGGUCCAUUUUGGCAUUAUCCCUGUGUACAAAGUUCCUUAUUAAGUUGAUUUAUUACUGUAUAAUGUGUUUAUUUUAUAUGAGUGAGUCUUUAAUCAGGUUUACGUUUACGUGGCAUUUAUAACAUUAUGAGGUAAAAGAUUGUUAGCAAACACAAAUGCCAACUGGACAUCUGAUGACAGAAAGCAUCAUUAUGUACAUUAACAUAAUUUUUGUGUGUGUCCUCAGUGCACGGCUUUUACACACAGCUGUUACUGACCAAGCAAGCAUGGCUGAAGAUGAUGAAGUAGAACAAAGCUCCCUAACAGGUGGAAAUAUUUUGGUGCAUACACUGUAUAUGAAAAAACGAAUGUAACUUUUAACAUGGCAGUGAGUUGCCAACCACUAUUUCAAGGCCCCACAAUAACCAACAUUUACUCUGUGUGUCUGAAUGCACAACUAUUUAACAUGAUGUAAUGGUAAACAAGCCUUUUGUUGGCAAUAGACAUCCUUAUGAACAUAUGCAAAUAUUUCCUAAAACGAAUAAUGAAAUAUAAUAUCCUUUUAUUUUCUUAAAUCUGAAAAUCUUGGUGUUAUUAGUAAACUGUUUCGUGUUACAUGACAGUUAUGCUAUUUAUUCAAUGUUCUUGUAUAAUAAUGAUAAACAUAUACAAAAGAAGCCUACAGAAGACUUGGGAUGUUAUGGAACAC
rnacentral:lncRNA from 1 species